rnacentral:rRNA from 1 species
ACGAACGCUGGCGGCGUGCUUAACACAUGCAAGUCGAACGGAAAGGCCCUGCUUUUUUGGGGUGCUCGAUUGGCGAACGGGUGAUUAACACGUUAUUAACCUGCCCUUGACUUUGGUAUAACUUCAUGAAACUGGGGCUAAUACCGGCUAGUAGCUCCUUCUGCAUUGUGGGUUUUUGAAAGUUUCGGCGGUUGGGGAUGGACUCGCUGCUUAUCAGCUUGUUGGUGGGGUAGUGGCUUACCAAGGCUUUGACGGGUAGCCGUCAUUAGAGGGUUAACGGACACAAUGGGAAUGAGAUACGGACCAGACUCCAACGGGAGGAAGAAGUGGGGAAUAUUGCACAAUGGGCGGAAGCCUGAGGCAGCAACGCCGCGUGCGGGAUGACGGCCUUCGGGUUGUAAACAGCUUUCGACUGUGACGAAGCGUGAGUGACGGUAAUGGGUAAAGAAGCACCGGCUAACUACGUG